GACGAACGCUGGCGGCGUGCCUAACACAUGCAAGUCGAGCGGGGUUGAAGCGAGAGGUAACUCGAGCUUCUACCUAGCGGCGGACGGGUGAGUAACGCGUGGGCAACCUGCCUCAAGGUUUGGGAUAACAGCCCGAAAGGGCUGCUAAUACCGGAUAUGCCUAUGGCCUCGCAUGGGGCUAUGAGCAAAGGGGAAACCCGCCUUGAGAUGGGCCCGCGUCCCAUCAGCUAGUUGGUGAGGUAACAGCUCACCAAGGCGACGACGGGUAGCCGGCCUGAGAGGGUGACCGGCCACACUGGGACUGAGACACGGCCCAGACUCCUACGGGGGGCAGCAGUGGGGGAUCUUGCACAAUGGGCGAAAGCCUGAUGCAGCGACGCCGCGUGAGCGAAGAAGGCCUCGGUUGUAAGACUCUGUCUGAGGGACGGAACAAAAUAGACGGUACCGUCCGGACGGAAGGACCGACGGCGUAACUAACGUGCCACGCAGCCGCGGUAAACGGUAACGACGUG
rnacentral:rRNA from 1 species